rnacentral:rRNA from 1 species
ACGUGGGAAACCUGCCCAGAAGCGGGGGAUAACACCUGGAAACAGAUGCUAAUACCGCAUAACAACUUGGACCGCAUGGUCCGAGCUUGUAAAGAUGGCUUCGGCUAUCACUUUUGGAUGGUCCCGCGGCGUAUUAGCUUAGAUGGUGGGGUAACGGCUCACCAUGGCAAUGAUACGUAGCCGACCUGAGAGGGUAAUCGGCCACAUUGGGACUGAGACACGGCCCAAACUCCUACGGGAGGCAGCAGUAGGGAAUCUUCCACAAUGGACGAAAGUCUGAUGGAGCAACGCCGCGUGAGUGAAGAAGGGUUUCGGCUCGUAAAACUCUGUUGUUUAAAGAAGAACAUAUCUGAGAGUUAACUGUUCAGGUAUUUGACGGUAUUUAACCAGAAAGCCACGGCUAACUACGUGCCAGCAGCCGCGGUAAUACGUAGGUGGCAAGCGUUGUCCGGAUUUAUUGGGCGUAAAGCGAGCGCAGGCGGUUUUUUAAGUCUGAUGUGAAAGCCUUCGGCUCAACCGAAGAAGUGCAUCGGAAACUGGAAAACUUGAGUGCAGAAGAGGACAGUGGAACUCCAUGUGUAGCGGUGAAAUGCGUAGAUAUAUGGAAGAACACCAGUGGCGAAGGCGGCUGUCUGGUCUGUAACUGACGCUGAGGCUCGAAAGUAUGGGUAGCAAACAGGAUUAGAUACCCUGGUAGUCCAUACCGUAAACGAUGAAUGCUAAGUGUUGGAGGGUUUCCGCCCUUCAGUGCUGCAGCU